rnacentral:rRNA from 1 species
UACGUAGGGUCCAAGCGUUGUUCGGAUUCAUUGGGCGUAAAGGGUGCGUAGGUGGCGCUGUAAGUCGGGUGUGAAAUUUCGGAGCUUAACUCCGAAACUGCAUUCGAUACUGCGGUGCUUGAGGACUGGAGAGGAGACUGGAAUUCAUGGUGUAGCAGUGAAAUGCGUAGAGAUCAUGAGGAAGACCAGUGGCGAAGGCGGGUCUCUGGACAGUUCCUGACACUGAGACACGAAGGCCAGGGGAGCAAACGGG